AACCCUCCUUCGCCGCCGCACCCGGAACCCUUGCGCCGGGAGGAGCGAUUUCCAGCCGGAGCGGCCGCCAAGGACCCCGGUGCCCGGAAGCGGCUGCAGUUCUGUCAGCCUGCAGCCGCGGCGGCUUCACCUGCCCUUGCCCGCGGCAGCCCGGGGCCUCAGGCGCGGCGGCUGAGUCCCGGUAGGCGGCCGGGGGGCGGUCGGCUCCUCCUGGCCCCUCCGGCCGUUAGAAUGUGGCGGACGCGGGCGGCAGCGGCUUGUGUCAUCUGCCGGAGUCUUGCAAAUAGCAGCUAUGGAAUAAAAAGAAAAUCAGCACUUCAAAACUUGCAUCUUGUUUCCCGAAGUAUACACCAUCCCUACUAUCCAAGUUCAAAAUUUCAAAGACCUCCAUUAAGGAUAUCCAUUAAGCUGUUCUCUUCUCUUAAUCGUCUUCCCCUACGCAAAACAAAACUUUUAAAUGUAAAACAUGGAUACCAGUUCCACAGGAACUUUUGGCUAGCUAGACUAGCGUCAAGGCUUCUCAAAGUUCGCUAUCUUAUAUUAGGAUCUGCUGUAGGUGGUGGUUAUACAGCUAAGAAGACAUAUGAUCAGUGGAAGGACAUGAUGCCAGAUCUCAAUGAAUAUAAGUGGAUUGUUCCUGACUUCGUUUGGGAGCUUGAUGAACAUAUUGACUUUGAAAAACUUAUCAAAGCCCUUCCUGAUGCAGAUGACCUUGCCAAACUUCUGCCUGACUUUGACAAGAUUGGAGAGAGCUUCACUUCACUGAAAGGAUUUUUUUCUCCUGGUUACAAUUUGGUUAGUGAAGUCAUAGGAGCUUCUGAUCUACUUCUGUUGUUAGGUUCUCCAGGGGAAACAGCAUUCAGAGCUACUGACCAGGGAUAUGACAAUGACAAACAGUUCAAGAAGGGCCUGCUUGGUGAACUCAUACUGUUACAACAACAAAUCCAGCAGCACGAAGAGGAAGCGCGCAGAGCCGGUGGCCAGUAUAACAUGGGCUCUUCCCAGCAGAAGCGAAAGAUUUCUGACAAAGAGAAGAUUGAUCAACUUCAAGAAGAACUUUUACGUACUCAGCUCAAAUAUCAAAGAAUGCUCGAGCGAUUAGAGAAGGAGAACAAAGAACUAAGAAAAUUGGUACUGCAAAGAGAUGACAAGGGAAUUCAUCAGAGGAAGUUAAAGAAAUCCUUGAUUGAUAUGUAUUCUGAGGUACUCGACAUCCUGUCUGAUUACGAUGCCAGUUACAACACUCAAGAUCACCUACCUCGAGUGGUGGUAGUUGGAGAUCAAAGUGCAGGAAAAACCAGUGUGUUAGAAAUGAUCGCCCAAGCCCGCAUAUUCCCUCGAGGGUCUGGGGAGAUGAUGACACGUUCCCCUGUUAAGGUAACCCUUAGUGAAGGUCCCCACCAUGUGGCUUUAUUCAAAGACAGCUCUCGGGAAUUUGAUCUGACCAAGGAAGAGGAUCUUGCAGCUUUGAGAAAUGAAAUAGAAAUCAGAAUGAGAAACAGUGUGAAGGAAGGAUGCACUGUUAGCACUGAGACCAUCUCCUUAAGUGUGAAAGGUCCUGGUUUGCAGAGAAUGGUAUUGGUUGAUUUACCUGGAGUCAUUAGUACUGUGACAUCAGGUAUGGCUCCAGAUACUAAGGAAACUAUCUUUAGCAUCAGCAAGGCUUACAUGCAGAAUCCUAAUGCCAUCAUCCUUUGUAUUCAAGAUGGAUCAGUGGAUGCAGAACGCAGUAUUGUCACAGACUUAGUCAGCCAAAUGGAUCCUCAAGGAAAAAGGACAAUUUUUGUGUUGACCAAAGUUGAUCUUGCUGAGAAAAAUGUGGCUAGUCCCAGCAGGAUCCAGCAAAUAAUUGAAGGCAAACUCUUCCCAAUGAAAGCUUUGGGUUAUUUUGCAGUUGUUACUGGAAAAGGAAACAGCAGUGAAAGCAUUGAAUCUAUUAAAGAGUAUGAAGAGGAAUUUUUUCAAAAUUCAAAGCUGUUGAAGACAUGUAUGCUUAAGGCACACCAGGUAACAACAAAGAACUUAAGUCUUGCUGUGUCAGACUGCUUUUGGAAAAUGGUGAGAGAGUCUGUGGAGCAGCAAGCAGAUGCUUUUAAAGCCACACGUUUCAAUCUAGAGACUGAAUGGAAGAACAAUUAUCCCCGGUUGCGAGAGCUCGACAGGAAUGAACUGUUUGAAAAAGCAAAGAAUGAGAUUCUUGAUGAAGUCAUAAGCUUGACUCAGGUCACACCAAAGCACUGGGAGGAGAUUCUUCAGAAAACUUUAUGGGAAAGGGUAUCUACUCAUGUGAUUGAGAAUAUAUACCUUCCAGCAGCACAGACUAUGAACUCGGGGACAUUUAACACCACUGUGGACAUCAAACUGAAGCAGUGGACUGACAAGCAGCUACCUAAUAAAGCGGUAGAGGUGGCAUGGGAGACUUUGCAAGAAGAAUUUUCCCGUUUCAUGACUGAGCCAAAAGGAAAAGAGCAUGAUGAUAUCUUUGAUAAACUGAAACAAGCUGUCAAAGAAGAAAGUAUUAAGCGACAUAAAUGGAAUGAGAGAGCGGAGGAUAGCCUGCGGGUGAUCCAGCAUAAUGCCUUAGAAGAUCGGUCAAUAUCUGAUAAACAGCAGUGGGAUGCAGCUAUUCAUUUUAUGGAAGAGACGCUCCAAAGUCGUCUCAAAGACACUGAAUCUGUUAUUGAAGAUAUGGUGGGUCCAGACUGGAAAAAAAGGUGGUUAUACUGGAUAGGCCGCACCAAAGAACAGAAUAUUCGUAAUGAAACAAAAAAUGAACUUGAGAAAUUAAUCAAAUGUAGUGAAGAACAUGCAGCUUAUCUGGCAAAUGAUGAAGUGACAACUGUCAGAAAGAAUCUUGAAGCAAGAGGAGUAACAGUGGAUCCGUGUCUGAUUAAAGACACAUGGCACCAAAUUUAUAGAAGAUAUUUUCUGAAGACUGCUUUGAACCACUGCAAUCUAUGUCGAAGAGGCUUUUAUUAUUACCAGAGGCAUUUUGUGGACUCGGAGCUUGAAUGUAAUGAUAUUGUCCUCUUCUGGCGAAUACAGCGAAUGCUGGCAAUUACAGCAAAUACGCUGAGGCAGCAGCUUACUAACACUGAAGUAAGGCGCUUAGAGAAGAAUGUAAAAGAAGUGCUUGAAGAUUUUGCUGAGGAUAAUGAAAAAAAGGUGAAGCUCCUAACUGGCAAGAGGGUCCAGCUUGCAGAGGAUCUCACUCCCAGUGAAAGGAUUCGCGGAACUACUGAAUUGUUUCCAGAAUUCCACUCUGCUGGACUUUCUUGUUCUAUAUAAAGGGCAAACUUCCUUAAUAGCGUGAACUUAAUAGUUGCCGUACAACUUUGCAACACAAGAUGGCAAUGAACGGCCUUUAUAGGAAGAGGAGGGAGGAUGAGUAUGCAGCAGAGCUGGUGCCAAGCCUCCUGUCUCUGGUUAUUUUCUGUUGCAUUUUGAAGCACGACCACGGCUUAGGCAGUUGGCAUUGGUUUCUUGGAUGUUAGGUUUUUUUGUCUGAGAGGAAGAUGCACUUGCCUAGCCUUGUCACUCUUGUUUUCCACUUUUGGGGGUGUUUGUAUGGCACACAGUUCAUGAAGAUAGCAAGGUAUGGUCAUUUUUUCUGUUACACAUUUCUCAGUAGCAAGUACAGGAAAAGUAGUAGUUUACUAAGCUUUAUUACCAAAAAGCUGUUACGAACUGAAUGCUUUAAUCAUUUCUUCCAGUGUCUUAUCCUAAACCUAGGCUACAUAUAUUCUAGGCUACAUAUAUUCAUAUUGCAAUAGCAUUUAAAACAUGGUAGGUGGUGCACGUGUACAUUGAAUAGCUAAGAGGAAUCAGCAGUCAACAGUUUUGCCAUUGACUUCACUAGAGAUGAAAUUUCACAGACCCCAAAGAAAUACACAUGCUAUAUCUUCAGUUAUUUCUUCUCAUUUCUUCCUUUUAAACAGCUAAACUAUGAAUUUUGCAAAGUUAUCUUUUAUGUGCACAUGAUAAACCCAUAGAACACAUAUAAAGAUAGUACAUACAGAGCGUCUUUCCUAAGUCAGCAUACUACUUCAAUACCCUGUUUCCUCACAGUUAAAAAAGGAAAAGAAAACCCAAAACUUCACCAAACGAAAAAGUUCGGGAGAUCCAGGAAAAGCUUGAAGCCUUCAUAGAAGCCCUCCACCAAGAAAAGUAGAUUAUUCAAGCAGCCACUUUACACAGGAGCGCAGCCUUUUCCAGGUUAUCUUGCACAAAGAAGACUGAAUAGAAAUGGCUUUUGUAUCCCAUUCUCUUUCCUGUCUUUUGGAGAGCAUCAUGAGAUGUUGCAGGAGAAAGAAAAUAAUGUCUCAUGGGAUUGAGAAGUUCAGUGAAAAUCCACCUGCUCUUUUAAUUUUUGAAGCUAUGUGCACAUGACAGAAGAAUCUGACUUGUGUGUCAAUGAGAUAGCUUGGGAGCUUGCUGAAGUUGUAUAAUGAGGGGUUUUUUUUUGACCUGAAAGUUAAAAAAGCUUUUAUUUUCAACAUCUGUCUUGUAUGUUUGAGCUGGAUGAGAUUCCUAAAGUUAUUUUACCUAUUGUCAUUUUCUUGCCUGCAAACGAUCCUGCCAGUUUGACAUAAAGUUUUAGUAUUUGUAUGUACAUUAAAACACCCUUCUAAGU